ensembl:misc_RNA
UGUGUAGAAGUGAACUCUUGUCAGAGUUUCAAAGGAAUUAAUAUAUUGUGGUAAAAUGUGCUAAUGUAAAGAGUUAGAAGAUGAGUGAUGCAUAAUGAAAGCAAUGCAUUCUUUCACAUGGAAAUAGGAAUAUAAUAAAUGUCCUGCAGGUGAUUAGGCUGUAGCAAUUUUAUUCAAGAUUAAAGUUUGAUUGACCUUUGUUAGGGUGAUUAACCCUUCUGAAAUUAAAAGCCAGAGCUGAAUUAUUCUGGCCAAUUUAAAUGCAAA